rnacentral:rRNA from 1 species
GACGAACGCUGGCGGCGUGCCUAAUACAUGCAAGUUGAGCGCUGAAGGUUGGUACUUGUACCAACUGGAUGAGCAGCGAACGGGUGAGUAACGCGUGGGGAAUCUGCCUUUGAGCGGGGGACAACAUUUGGAAACGAAUGCUAAUACCGCAUAAAAACUUUAAACACAAGUUUUAAGUUUGAAAGAUGCAAUUGCAUCACUCAAAGAUGAUCCCGCGUUGUAUUAGCUAGUUGGUGAGGUAAAGGCUCACCAAGGCGAUGAUACAUAGCCGACCUGAGAGGGUGGUCGGCCACAUUGGGACUGGGACACGGCCCAAACUCCUACGGGAGGCAGCCGUAGGGGAUCUUCGGCAAUAGACGAAAGUCUGACCGAGCAACGCCGCGUGAGUGAAGAAGGUUUUCGGAUCGUAAAACUCUGUUGGUAGAGAAGAACGUUGGUGAGAGUGGAAAGCUCAUCAAGUGACGGUAACUACCCAGAAAGGGACGGCUAACUACGUG